rnacentral:tRNA from 1 species
AAUCUUAUAGUUAAUUCAUAACCUUAAACUGCAACUUUAAAAUAGAUUUUAUCUAAGAUUU